UCCAAAUAUGCAAAAUAGAGUCUGAAAAUAGGAAUCCAAGUACAUAAAUGGAAUUGUUCAGAGGAAUCAUUUGAAUGUUUUAGCUCAAAUGUUUUGCCUGUAUCUUAAUUUUCUCAUUUAUUAUGUUUCAUUCAUUUAUAUAUUAAUCAUUCAUUUAAUACUUACUGGGCUAGGUUUUGGGGAGAUAAAGUAAAUAGAACUUGGUCUUUAGUGUAAAAGUCAGGGGAAAAAAAACCUAUUCCAGAAGGGUUUGACAAGCACUAAGGUAGAGAUGUGCAUAUAGCCUUCCUGUAGCCAAAGGAGGAGUAUCUAUGUUAGGUUGCGGGAGUGGGGGGUAUCAGAGAAAGUUUCCUUGGGAAGGUGAUACUUCACAUAGGUCCUACAAACAGACACAAAGAAUUAAUACACCCGGCACAUUUAGGAAAUGUCAUUUUUGCUACUUGUGAAAAAAAACCGUAUACAGGCAGUAAAGUGAAAGAAUAAAUGUUAAAGAGCUCAACAGGGGCCAGGUUACAACGGCCUUAUGUUCACGCUAAUUAGAUGACUCUUUGUUGAAAAGGAAAUGGUCAUCUAAUGAGAAACUUUACCCAGAGAAGCGGCAUGAUCAGAGCAUUGUCUUUAAAGACAGAUUGAAAAGGAUAUGAGCGACAAGAGAUGCAGAUCUGUACCAGAGCAGGGGCAAGGGUGAGACACAUUGGUUGAGAUUGACUUAGGAAUGGGAAUAAGAUUUGGUGGUUGAAUGGAUAGAACAAGGUUAACCGAGAAGCCUCAGUGUGGUUGGUGGGUAAAAGUGGUACCAUUUACCAGACAGGCAAUGUCAGAGAGGAAAACUUGGAGAAGGGUGAUGGCUUGUUUGAAUUGUGUGUGAAAUGAGCAAACUGAGGUAACAAUUAGACAGCUGUACAUGUGUCUGGAGACCAGUAGAGAGGCCAAAGGAAGAGAUUUAAAUUUGGGGAUUAUCAGUAUAGAUGCAUCCAUUGAAGUCAGGGACCUCGAUAAGUACAUUUACAAAUGUAAGAAAGCAGAGGGUCAAAGGUCAAUCCCAGAGAAAGACACUAUUAAAAGGAUUAAGUGUCUGAAGAGAGAUUUAUCAAGGUGGCAGAGGUAACAUCUAGAGAGACCAUACAUCGUGGAAAGCAAGAUUCUGGAAACCAAGGAGAUUUUAAGUAGUAGAGAACUGUCAACAUUGUUCAUCAGAGAAUCAAAAAUCUAUCACUAAGCUAAGUUACCAAGUCACUGACCUGAACCCCAACUCUACUGGUGUGUAUCUAUAAUAUCAGGCUUCUAUUAUGAGCAACAUGGGUACACAGGCCACACGUAAGCCUGAAAGCAGGAGUGCUGUUUUCUGCUCGAGUUUUCUGCUUUUCUGCCACUGCCAGAAGAAACUCUCAAGGACUUAGCUUAACUAAGGUCAGAAGUACCAGUCAGGACUCUUUCCUUCAAGUCACAGAUGCCGACCAGAACCCACUGAAGUGCAAAGCAUGCUGGGAGAACUCAUGGCAUCAGAGGAUGAACUCAACAAGCAGGAAGGCAAGAACCGGGACAGCCUCAGGGCCAACAUCCAAAAAGCACUGUCAAGAGAGUCCAAUUGGUCCCAGAUACCCAUUGUUAGAACUGAAGGGAGCUGGAGGAGGACGAGAUAGAGCCAACAAAUCCCCAGCUGGAAGAGAGAAGAGGCAGUAUACGUCACAGCUGGUGCCGUGGACGGAUUGGAGGGGACAUGGGUGGGUGCAGAGGAGAGCCAGAGGUGGAGACAGAGGGCAAAUGAAAAGGGGAGUAAAGGAGACAAGGUCAGACAAGCAACUGUUUCAAGCUAGGAGGAGAUCACCAGUGUUUUAAGAUGGUGUAAAGCAGGAACCAUGAAAUGUACUGUUCUCAAUUCUGUCUUCCUGUCGAUAAAACCAGGAGUGCCAGAUAGCAUCUGAGACCAGACAACCAUA